rnacentral:lncRNA from 1 species
UGGGGACAUAAGCAUUAAAACUUUCAGACAAGUAAGACAUAAUAUCAGAAAAAUUGCAUUCUGAUAGCAGUGAUUAGGUUUCUAGUUUUUUUUUUACUUCUUUUAUCAUUUUUGUGUGACAGUGUUUAUGAGUUACUUGUAGCUUCGCUAUUCUAAUAAAAACGUUUGGAUGCGUUUAUCUUUUCUUCAUUAUUUGAUUGGUUCAUAUUUACAUGUAGAAUGUUUUUUGUUACCAAAUUUUAAAGCAGAAACUUCAAACAGUAACAUUUCAGUACAUUAAACUUUUUAUCUAGUAACUUGUUACAUUUACGAGUGUCUUGACCGUUUCCAAAAUGACAAAAAAAA